UUUAACCCAAAGUGAGCUUUAUUUCGAAGCAGAAAGUAAAAAAUCUGGUUCGGUUAGAAGUUGGAAGGGCGCUGGAGAAGGCAGUUCAAAUGGAAUCAUCAACAAACACAGAUCUCGACGAACUCGAUCCUUCAUCCACCCUAUUAGAUCUCACCAGUUACCAACUUCACGACCUCGACUCUGUCGAUUUACCUCCCAACCUUACCGAAUUAGACCUCACCGCAAAUCGUUUAUCUACCCUAGACCCUCGUAUUUCCCAACUUUCUCAUCUCAAAAAACUUUCUCUCCGUCAAAACCUAAUCACCGACUCCGCCGUUUAUCCCCUCUCUUCCUGGAACGCACUCUCCUCUCUCGAAGAGAUUGUGUUACGCGAUAAUCAAUUAAAGAACAUUCCAGAUGUCACCAUAUUUAAUAAGCUUUUGCUUUUUGAUGUUUCUUUCAAUGAAAUCACUUCGCUUCAUGGAUUAUCCAGGGUUUCUAAUACACUCAACGAACUCUAUGUAUCCAAAAAUGAAAUUACCAAAAUUGAAGAGAUCGAUCAUUUUCAUCAAUUGCAUAUUUUGGAACUCGGUUCCAACAAAUUACGGGUGAUGGAGAAUUUGCAGAAUCUUGUGAAUUUGCAGGAGUUAUGGCUUGGACGUAAUCGAAUUAAAAUUAUAAAUCUAUGUGGUUUGAAAUGCAUCAAGAAAAUUAGUUUGCAAAGUAAUCGUCUCACUUCAAUGAUAGGAUUUGAGGGUUGUGUAGCUCUUGAAGAACUAUACUUGAGCCACAAUGGUAUCACAAAAAUGGAAGGCUUGUCAUCUUUAGUCAAUCUCCGGGUUUUAGAUGUAUCAUCAAAUAAGCUAACCUCUGUGGAUGACAUUUUGAACUUGACACAAUUAGAAGAUUUGUGGCUUAAUGAUAACCAAAUAGAAUCACUCGAAGGAUUUGCUGAGGCUGUCGCUGGUUCAAGAGAAAAGCUUACCACAAUCUACCUAGAAAAUAAUCCAUGUGCUAAGUCUCCCAACUAUACUGUCAUCCUUAGGGAAAUCUUCCCCAACAUCGAACAAAUUGAUUCUGAUGUAUUUUCUUAAAAGUAUCUUGGCUCCAUCAUUUUUUUGAAAAAACGGUAGCUUUGAAGCAUUGUAUUUUCAUUUCUAUUUAUUCUGACUUGGGAGAUUGGUGAAGAGAUGUAAUUAUCAAACCACUGGAGAAUAUUAUGUGACCUGACCACUGGUUUGCAGUCGAAUUUAAUAUAUAUAUAUAUAUAUAUAUAUAUAUAUAUGCUUUUCAUGUUUCUUUUUUAUGCAGACAUAUUAUUUAUGUUCUUUGGGCAACCAAUUUUUGAAGUAAGGCUUUUUGAUGUUUGUGUUAAUCAUCUUCUAGAGAGUCAUUCAAAUUUGUUUUACUAACUUAUAUUACUAAAUUGAUACCUGCAUUCAACUAUUCCUUAGUUUUUUUUAUUAAUUACAAACAAACUUACAAAUAUCACACAAAUA